GCCCAUCCCCAUCCUCAGCGCCCCACCCCUAAUUGCCUCCAACACAUUUCUCAUUGCUGGGCCCCACUUUCCCAUCCUCCCACUCCCCCAGAUCAUCCCCAGGGUGUGAGGUUCCUCAUCUUCAAUCUCUGCUACACCCAAACCUGCCAGGUUCCCCUUUUCAACCACUGUGGGGUCGUCCAACCGCCGACACCCAUCCACUCUGGGCUCUCUAAAUCCCACAUUCCCACAAUGCUCCUUGGUAACGCCACUCUUCUCUAUCCCUAAUCCUCCUAUUCCCUUCCCUCAGGUCCUCCUGGACACCCCAGCCCACAGUCAGGCCUCCUCAUACAUCCCAGUCAUUUACAUGCUGAGCUAGUUCUUCAGGGACCCCCACAGCCCAGCAGACUUCUCCAUCCAUGAGCCCCAUGGACCUGUGGCCAGGAAGGGUGAGGUGUGGUUUUGGCCGAAGAUGAGGUGUUUUGGUAGCCCUGUGGAUGCUGUGUGGUGUCUGGAAUGGGGCGUGUGUGUUCCCAUCAUGCCCCUUCCCCUCUGCCUGCAGAGCUGAGGACAGACAGGUCUGAGGAGCAGAGCAGGAGCUCUGGGAAGGAGAAGAGCAAUAUGAAGAUGGAGUCUAAGAUGAGACCAGGUAACUUCUGUGGAGGGAGACAUGCUGGACAGGGCCUAGGAUUGGGGAGACAAGCAGGGAAAAGAAGUCAUGGGGACGGAGUCCAGCCCUGAGGUGAGAUGGAAAGUGAUCAAGAGCAGUGACAGCGUGAAUCCUGUUGAUGCCAGGCAAGAGCUCCCCAACUGGGACAAGAGUAACCGUCCCUGUCGGUCAUGUUUCUUCUUCUUUCUGAGCUUCACUAAAACAUGAAGAGAGAACAAACUGACAUUUGCAUCCCAUGUUAAGAGAGUAUUUUCUCCUCUUCCAUUGUACCCCAGGCAAGAAGAGGGGAUAAUAACCAGUUAACGGAUGAUUGCAGAAGGAAAAGUUUGGUCUUUAUAAAUAGGACAAUUAUCAUUUGGUCUCCAUGUCCACUGAUGGUAGGACAAGAAGUAAUGGACUUAAUCUGCAGCCAGGGAGAUUCACGUUAGAUAUUGGGAACAGCUUUCUAACUCUGAGGGUAGUUAAGCUCUGGAAUAGGCUCCCAAGGAGGUCUGUGGAGUCUCUGUCCUAGGAGGCUUUUAAGAACAGGUUGAACAAACCUCUGUUAAGGAUACUCUGCAUAUACUUGGUCCCAUAGACAACCUGCUCUGGCUCUGCUUCCCUCCUUCUGCUCCCUGCCUGGGCCGGCUGCUCUGGGCACUUGGUCCCACAUGCCCCCAAUGCAUCGUCUCUGCUUGGCUCUGCUUCAGCAGAGAGGGCUGGAUUUCAUGAC